GGACGAUUAGCGCAGUUGGUUAGCGCGGUGCAUUCACAUUGCACAGGUCGGGGGUUCGAAUCCCUCAUCGUCCA
rnacentral:tRNA from 1 species